AUGCUGGUUGUGGUUCUAAGAGUGUUGAGAGGUUGAAGAAGUAUAUUGGGUUUGGAAUGUCAAAGAGAAAUUUGGAAUUUUUGGAUGUUUUAAAUGUUUUAGUUGAUGAAUCUUUUGACUUAAUCUCUUGGUAAUUUAUUGUCAAUGUUAUUGUGGGAUUGGUCUAUAUUGUUGAGGAAUUUUGGUGUUGAAAUUGUGGUUUGGAAAAGAAAAUUUAGAGAGAAUUUGAGAUUGUUAGAGUUGAAAUUGUGAUUUUUGCAAAGGAGAAAAAUUAAGAAAGAAUGUGGAAUUGUUGGAAAAGGAUUUAUAUUAUAAAUUGGUGGUAAAUUGUGUUGAAGGAAGUGAAUUAAAAAUUUGUUAAGUUAUCGAACGGUCUUUGUGAAGGUUUAGAU
rnacentral:lncRNA from 1 species